GUUUAAGAUUUAUUUCUUGAAUGAUGGCAGAUAGAGAAUUACUUUCUUCGGCAAAGUCUCAGAGUUUUACGAGUACAACAGAGUGGCAUAUGUGAGAAAUGUCGAAAGUUGGAAAUGGGUGGGUCAAUUAUGUUUUUAGAGGUAUUUCUUGAAUGGUGACAGAUAGAGAGUUACUUUCUACGGCAAAGUCUCAGAG